UUGGGUUUAAAGUGAGCGUAGGCGGACUGUUAAGUUAGAGGUGAAAGCCCAGGGCUCAACCUUGGAAUUGCCUUUGAUACUGGCAGUCUUGAGUACGGAAGAGGUAUGUGGAACUCCGAGUGUAGAGGUGAAAUUCGUAGAUAUUCGGAAGAACACCAGUGGCGAAGGCGACAUACUGGUCCGUUACUGACGCUGAGGCUCGAAAGCGUGGGGAGCAAACAGGAUUAGAUACCCUUGUA
rnacentral:rRNA from 1 species